UAUCUGAGGAGAAGGAGUCUU
rnacentral:miRNA from 1 species